GUGGGGAAUAUUGGACAAUGGGGGGAACCCUGAUCCAGCCAUGCCGCGUGUGUGAAGAAGGCCUUUUGGUUGUAAAGCACUUUAAGCGAGGAGGAGGCUACCGAGAUUAAUACUCUUGGAUAGUGGACGUUACUCGCAGAAUAAGCACCGGCUAACUCUGUGCCAGCAGCCGCGGUAAUACAGAGGGUGCGAGCGUUAAUCGGAUUUACUGGGCGUAAAGCGUGCGUAGGCGGCUUUUUAAGUCGGAUGUGAAAUCCCCGAGCUUAACUUGGGAAUUGCAUUCGAUACUGGGAAGCUAGAGUAUGGGAGAGGAUGGUAGAAUUCCAGGUGUAGCGGUGAAAUGCGUAGAGAUCUGGAGGAAUACCGAUGGCGAAGGCAGCCAUCUGGCCUAAUACAGACGCUGAGGUACGAAAGCAUGGGGAGCGAACGGGAUUAGAUACCCUGGUAGUCC
rnacentral:rRNA from 1 species